AGUGAACGCUGGCGGUAGACCUAACACAUGCAAGUCGAACGGCAGCACAGUAAGAGCUUGCUCUUACGGGUGGCGAGUGGCGGACGGGUGAGGAAUACAUCGGAAUCUACUUUUUCGUGGGGGAUAACGUAGGGAAACUUACGCUAAUACCGCAUACGACCUACGGGUGAAAGCAGGGGAUCUUCGGACCUUGCGCGAUUGAAUGAGCCGAUGUCGGAUUAGCUAGUUGGCGGGGUAAAGGCCCACCAAGGCGACGAUCCGUAGCUGGUCUGAGAGGAUGAUCAGCCACACUGGAACUGAGACACGGUCCAGACUCCUACGGGAGGCAGCAGUGGGGAAUAUUGGACAAUGGGCGCAAGCCUGAUCCAGCCAUACCGCGUGGGUGAAGAAGGCCUUCGGGUUGUAAAGCCCUUUCGUUGGGAAAGAAAAGCAGCAGGUUAAUACCCCGCUGUUCUGACGGUACCCAAAGAAUAAGCACCGGCUAACUUCGUG
rnacentral:rRNA from 1 species